GGUCGUUGGAAUUGCUGCCCCGCACGAGAAAGCGAGGGUUUCCUUCCCCGCCGCGACCCCAUAUCCCUCCGCUCUACGGUGCCCCUCCUCGCUCCACGGUCGCGGAAUCCGGACGAGAUCGGCAGGAUCCACUCUCGGGCGAGGGUUUUCUCUCUAUAAGUCGCUGCCUCGACCCAUGGGAACUCCGACGAACGGUGUACAUGCCGGCAACCGGCGGGCCGGCGGAUUGGCUCCAGCCGCGUCCACCCUCACCUCCUCGUCCAUGACCUACUCUGCCCGGACGCCCGAGGUGACCGCGUGAUAUCAGAGAAGAUGCUAUUUUUUCAGAAAAAAAGGAAAGUAGGAUUUGAACGCCAUCCGCGAGUCCUCCAUCUAAGAGUUUCAGAAAUAUGGUAGUAGUCCAUAUAGAGUACAAGAGCUGACCAAUGUGGAGGCGUGGAGCAGACUGACAACGGAAAUACACAGGCUCAUGCCUUUAUUCUCCAUGUUUGCUAAAAGAGAGCUGCCCAGGAGCAACCAUGGAUGCUCCGCGUUCAAGGUGUACAAGGCCGAUUUGGAGUGGUUCCCUCGCAAGCCCCUGCUAUUCCCCACCUCUCGCGGGGUUCUACAUCUAGAUUGUUUUCUUCAGUGGCAGGAAGGUGAGUGGGAGCACCAUAUGUCAGGGAGUUUUGGUUUAAAGAGAGAUCACUGGGGAUGAGUUCACGACCAUGUUCCUGCUCAUUUUUGGCGAUAUGGUUCAGAGAGUGGUAACUAUUUGGUCAAACAAACAUCUUCCUGUCUUGAUAUGCCUUUUUACUUUUUGUUAUUUGUGAGAACUUUUAGUACACGUUUUUGUCAUAGCUAGAACUUCUGACAGCUUUGAAGCAAGAAUGUUCAGAGAAAUUGUUCCAUGGAAUAGCUAAACGAUAAUACUAUUAUUGAUUUAUGAUAGUUUGCACAUACAGAAAUAGAUAUAUUCAAGCCUGUAAUGGCUAACAGCCAAAAGUGCGAAUCUAUUCUUGAUACUCUUUUCCCCUUCUCUUAAAAUCAUCAUAUAAAAAUUAUAAGCUUUCUAACAUCUGCAUAUUUCGAGUUUCCAAGGAGGUACAGAUAGCAAAGUUCAAACAAUUCAGUGCAGCAGCAGCAACACCUCCAAGGACGCUGGGCUCGCAUGGUCUAGGCCACUAUCGAUUUGUUUCUCUUGGUCGAUGGCCUCUUUCGCCUAUGGUCGGAUCUGCGCGUCAGCGUCCACAGGAGGACUAGGAUCUGGCUGUGCUCCACGACCAUCACAACCAAGCCGGGGAGCGCCAGAGAUCACAACUUGAAAAUUUUAACUGCAAUAUUUGUUGGUCAGUGUCCUCUGAAAUUGUUCGUAAGGUAGUGCUCUAUUCUGUAUAGCAUCCUUGGAAUAUUGUGUGGUGUGAUGCUUUAUUUAUAAAGCGGGGCGUAUAGCCCUUUUUGUUAUUCUGUAUAACAAAGGGAAAGAGCCUCAGUUUGGUAUAGCAAUGGGGGUGAUCCUUCGUUGGAAGAAACAUUAGACUUACUGUUUUUUUAUACUAGCAUAGUGUUGGUUGUUAAUUUUAAGUGUAUCAUCAGUUUUUUCAGCCAAUGAAGUUAUGCUCACGACAUGGAGAACUUCAAGGACAACCUGCCUGAACAGUUUCUACCUGAUUAGUGAACUAGGCCAUUUACUAUACAAAUAGUUAUUUUGUUGCAAGUUACGCCCGUUGCUUCUAAAUACUACACUUUUGGUUGCAUUUUGUAACUAAGAAUGACACAAGCAGACUCUAAAACAUUCGAGCAAUGCCCAAGGUUAGUACAGGAAGCAUAGUAGUUUGCUUUAGUAGAAAUUAUAUUCCUUUUUCCACUACUGUGAACAUGGACGUGAGUAGGUAAUUGCUCCUAAAAAAACCUAAUUAAUGUAUUGUUGAACCUAAUUUUGAGAUGAUUUUUAUUCUACCAUUGUACAGUGCACAUUAGCAUCGUCUAAAUACAUAUGUCUCUGGGGGUUUCUUUUUGGUGGCAAAUUGAUUCUUGCAAUCAUAGCGGAAGGCCAGCAAUAAGGCACUUUACACUGAUGAAAUUUGCAUAAGUAUUCCUCUUUGUGAUACGAUUUCACCAAAAGUUUCAACAUUAAGAUGUUUACUUAGUUAAACCCGAACUGAUGCACCCACCCAUACAUGUAUAAGCUCCAAAAAAAUAAAACAAUAUGCAAAGAAUUUUUCAGCUUUCGGGCUAUAAGCAUUAGACAUUUUCAAAAGAAAUGUUGAAUGUUAGUAUCAAUUGAAUCAAUUUGACCUUAACACAGUGCAGGUACUGUUAAAUCUGUAGUUGUAAUUUAUUCAUCUGUGACUUGAUUUUCUUUUCACUUCUGUUUUUAUAAAUUCAUGUAGUUGGCUAUAAUAAUGAUAUUUUUUUCUUUUGAGAGAGAAAUUGUGUGUCUGCUCUGGUUUCAGUUUUAACGUCAGCUCGUUACAAUCCGUAACUACUUAUAGACUACUUCAUCCGGAUGGGUUUGCAACUUUGUGUACAGACUGCUUCAACACUUCUAUUUUCUAUAGGACUUGGAUUAAUAAUCUCCAACAAUAUGGUCAUGCUUCUUAUAUUCACUUUCAGUUCUAAAUACAUUUGUGCUUUUCUCUGUGUUGUACUACUAAACUAUGUGUGCUAAACUGAACAUAAAAAUAUGAUGGGGUGGUGGUUUCAGCCAUAGAAAUAAUUGAUUUGGAGAACAAAGGAAAUUUUCGACGGACGAAGAACUCGCUCGAGAUGCUUCAGUGAUGAUUUUAUAUAGCAUUUUAUCUAAACCUGGGUUCCUUCUUUCAGACUGGACGGUGCCAUAUGAUGUGAAGCCGGUGUAAUAACUUUUUCAUUUGGCAUCAGUGGUGAUGUGGCAACCUUUUAGACAAUUUGCCACCUGUAACACAAUGUAAAACCUCAUACGAGCUGAUUGCCUUCUUGGUAGUUGUUGCGGCUUCUGAAUUAAGUGUACCACUAUGUUUAAAACGCCAUGAU